UACGGAGGGGGCUAGCGUUGUUCGGAAUUACUGGGCGUAAAGCGCACGUAGGCGGCUUUGUAAGUUAGAGGUGAAAGCCCAGGGCUUAACCCUGGAAUUGCCUUUAAGACUGCAUCGCUAGAAUUGUGGAGAGGUAAGUGGAAUUCCGAGUGUAGAGGUGAAAUUCGUAGAUAUUCGGAAGAACACCAGUGGCGAAGGCGACUUACUGGACACAUAUUGA
rnacentral:rRNA from 1 species